UGCGGAAGGAUCAUUACUGAGUGCGGGCUGCCUCCGGGCGCCCAACCUCCCACCCGUGAAUACCUAACACUGUUGCUUCGGCGGGGAACCCCCUCGGGGGCGAGCCGCCGGGGACUACUGAACUUCAUGCCUGAGAGUGAUGCAGUCUGAGUCUGAAUAUAAAAUCAGUCAAAACUUUCAACAAUGGAUCUCUUGGUUCCGGCAUCGAUGAAGAACGCAGCGAACUGCGAUAAGUAAUGUGAAUUGCAGAAUUCAGUGAAUCAUCGAGUCUUUGAACGCACAUUGCGCCCCCUGGCAUUCCGGGGGGCAUGCCUGUCCGAGCGUCAUUGCUGCCCAUCAAGCCCGGCUUGUGUGUUGGGUCGUCGUCCCCCCCGGGGGACGGGCCCGAAAGGCAGCGGCGGCACCGUGUCCGGUCCUCGAGCGUAUGGGGCUUUGUCACCCGCUCGACUAGGGCCGGCCGGGCGCCAGCCGACGUCUCCAACCAUUUUUCUUCAGGUUGACCUCGGAUCAGGUAGGGAUACCCGCUGAACUUAAGCAUAUCAAUAAGCGGAGGA
rnacentral:rRNA from 1 species